rnacentral:rRNA from 1 species
ACACUGACGUCGCGACGCAUAUCAAUAAGCGGAGGAAAAGAAACUAACAAGGAUUCCCUUAGUAACGGCGAGUGAAGCGGGAAGAGCUCAAAUUUGAAAUCUUCAAGGUUCUACCUUGACGAAUUGUAGUUUAAAGAAGUGUUUUCUGUUAGUGGAGUGGCAAAAGUUCUUUGGAAUAGGACAUCAUAGAGGGUGAGAAUCCCGUAUUUGGAUCCAUUAUUUCUAGCUGUGUGAUACACUUUCAAAGAGUCGGAUUGUUUGGGAAUGCAGUCCAAAAUGGGUGGUAAAUUUCAUCUAAAGCUAAAUAUUGGCGAGAGACCGAUAGCGAACAAGUACCGUGAGGGAAAGAUGAAAAGAACUUUGAAAAGAGAGUUAAACAGUACGUGAAAUUGUCAAAAGGGAAGCGUUUGACACCAGUGUUGUUUUUCCGAAAAUCAAUUACGAAUGGUUUGAUUUCUGAUGAGUGAUGACCUUCAUCAGCUUCCUGCAUCUCUUUCACGAAGUCUUUUGUAAUGCACUUUUCGGUUAACAAGUCAACAUCAAUUUCUUUUGUUGUAAAAGAGUAUUCGGAAGGUGGCUUUCUUUUCGGAGAAAGUGUUUAUAGCCCUAUACUUCUACAAUCGGAGAGAUUGAGGUCUGCAGCGUAGAUCCUUCGGGGUUAGAUACACUUGUGCUAAGUUAUAGCUUUUCAUAGACAACUUGUUGACUAUGUUUAGUCUUGUAGCUUACUCGCUUGUGCUAUUUUACCUACGCUUAGGAUGUUGAGUCGUAGAGCACGCAG